GAAUGCUCAACAAUGCACUAAUCUGGGACAAUAAGAAUAAACGGUAAAAAUAUGGUUCUUUUGGCUUUACACACUAGAUUUGUACGAGGCACAUUAAAAACUAAUAUAGAAAGUAGACACAAAUGUUUUUUUAACUGAAGUAUUAUUAAUAUUCACAGACCAAUUGAUUUUCAUGGGGUGGAGCCAUGGAUUUUAUAUGAAGCUAGAUUUUUAAACAAGACAAAAUUUUGUUUUUUACAUCAUUCAUAUCCUAUUUGCCAAAAAUAAAUCCAGAAUAUUUUUUUUGUAACUGAAUAUGUAGGUUAGAUUAUUUGUAAACAUUAUAGAUCAGCUUUGGGUUUGUCCAUAAGGAUUGAGACUGGAAAUGGCAAUUAGAUCAGACUUUUAAAGUAAGUUUUAAUCAUUACAUAGAUUUUUGAAUUUCUGAAUUCAAAUAAUGUAAAAUGUGAAUUUGUGUUGGGUAUAAUGUUUUUGACCUGUCUGUCCUGUUUGUCAACAUUGUUCUUGUCAUUGCAACUCCUCUGAAAGCACACAACAGAAUUUCAUAAAACAUAAACUAUGUAGUUGUGCAUGUUUACAAGAAAUUAUGAUUCACUUUUUUCUAUGAGUUAUGCUAUGCCCCUCUGAACUUAAAAUUUUGGCCUAUACUUUUGCAACAGUUUCACUACAAGUCCUCUAAAACUGCACGACAGAAUUACAUGGUUCUUUGAAGUUAAUGAGGACAGUAUGGCAUAUCCAGAAGAAAUCUUUAUCAGUUGACUUUUUUACAAGCACAAUGGAUUUGUUUAACAAGUAUGUGUUAUAAGUAAAAUUGAGAAUGGAAAUGGGGAAUGUGUCAAAGAGACAACAACCCGACCAUAGAAAAAACAACAGCAGAAGGUCACCAAUAGGUCUUCAAUGUAGCGAGAAAUUCCCACACCCGGAGGCGUCCUUCAGCUGGCCCCUAAACAAAUAUAUACUAGUUCAGUGAUAAUGAACGCCAUAUACUAAUUUCAAAACUGUUUUGAGAAAAAUAUCUAUAGUGUUUGGAUUGAACUGUAAAAGGAAUAUUUCAUACAAGUAUAUUGCUUUUAUUAUUUGUUUAUAGGCUGUCAGAUGUGAGGACUGAUUCCAUGGUGUUAGAAGUAAGAAUUGGCGAUAUGAUACUGCUAACAUAUUGGUUAGCAUCACAGCUUGUCCUUUUGAAUACUGGCUGGAGUAGAAUUUGGAUCUUUUUGAGGUGCCCUUGUGUGGUCAAUCCAAUAGAAAAUAACAAUCAUGCAGACCAGAUAUAUAUUGCUCUUUUGUGUUUAAUAAAAUCUUUAAAUGGUAAUUCUGAAAGCCAAAUGAUUCAUUUUUUUAUGCUGUUAUUUUUUCUAUUUACUGUAAAUUAACAAAUUUUUGCUUUGAAUACUGUUAUUCAUUUGGCUCAAAUGUAGUAUACAGAUAUUUAGUUCCAGCUUUUGAUGUGUAUUCCUUUGCAAAUAAAAAACUUGUAUGACAGUUAUAAAAAAAAGCUAAUUUAUACUUAUCAUUUUGGAAAAUUAUAAUUGUAAUGGUUGACAAUUUGAUAGAAUAAAAAAGUCUUUUAUGGUUGACUGUAAGCUAAUUUUUGCAGAAAUUAUGGGCUUUGGACUUUGAGAUUUUUUUCUGUAAGCCUCCAGAUUUUGAGCUUAUUUUUAAUAUGUGAGAAUACCAUCAGGUUUAUGUCCACAUGUGUUAUUGAAAUUGCAGAUUUUCCAACUUUUUGGGACGCCAUCUAGUUUUUUAAUAGUUUUUGAGGACUUUUAAAACUUGUCAAUGAUAAAGCUAUGAAAAGUCAAGAGAGAACAUUUUCCUGACAAAAUUUCAAUGGCUAAUAUAUCAAACGAGCAUGGUGACCUUCUUUUUUUGCUCUUUGGAUUCCUUUAUUAAUCCUCAAUCAAUGUAAACUAAGUCUUUUGAAAAGUAAAUUAUUUUGAAACAGAGAAGCAAACUCCCUAAAUCUCUUUCUUUUUGAUCUCACUAAGUAACAAAAUAUAGAGCACUUAAUUGCACAUUAAUAGAGCAUUUCCUUAACCCUUAAACUCACUAUCAUCCUUUACUUUAACCCUCAACCUACCCUUAAUCUAACCCUUAAGGAAGUUUGCUGCUCAGUUUGAGAACAAGUAACUUUCCAUAGAACUAGUAUAUUGAUAAGGGAUUAAUUGAGGAAUCAAAAAAGCAAAAAAAUAUAGAUGUCAAUGUGCUUGUUUUUUUAUGAAUUAAAAAAAAGAUGUGUAUGUGUUGAACUUGAUUAAAAAAAUUCCAAAUUAUUACAGGGUAACAGAAAAUGGGAUCAAUGUUUAUUAAAACAAAUCUGUUAAAAGGAAAAAAAAAGUCAAAAGUUGUAUUUUUCAAAAUAAUUGUGUUAAUAUUUCUGUGAUAUUUAGAAAUAUGUGCACCAAAAAAAAUAAUGUUUUUUAUAUAAGUAUCAUUGUGGUAUGCCCUUGUUUAUUUUUUGUUUUGUGCAGUAGAUGCAUUUGAAUCUUGUUCAAAAUCCAUCGAUUGAAUAAACAUGAUAAACUAAUUGUUAUGUUAACACUGUAGCUAGAAUCAUAUUCAAAACAGUGUGGUCCUGGCCACUGAUUGACGACCUAAAUUAUCCCAUUGACUGGGACAGAUUAGGUGAACGUUUGUCGGUAACAAUCACUGCUCACUAUGUACUUGUUGAAGACACUGAAUCUGUGGGGUCACCAAAGGUUCUCAACACCUAAAUAAAGCAAUUCGAAAAACGAAUCAGGAAUAAUACGAUGUGUUGAUUUAUAUCAAUAAUAUAAAUCAAAACAUAAAGGUUAUUCCUGAAUAAUUUUUCGAAUUAUUUUAUUAUUAAAGGCGUAAAGAACCUUUGGUGACCCCACAGUUUAAAUUUUAUA